rnacentral:lncRNA from 1 species
GCCAGUCUCCGUUGUGGAUCUUGGUAAACAACUCUUUAUUAGGGAAGGUUGGCACGCUGUCCCUCAACACCCUAUGAGAAAACCCCACGUGGCAGCUUUGGAUUGGACUUGAGUAAGCUUUAUUAGGCUAUGCUUGGGCGCUCGGCGGGGGGUCACUAGAAGAUGAUACAUGAAACAAGGCCUGAAUAAACUGCUGAAAGAAGAAUCCUGUGUCGUGUUUUCCCUUGCCGGCGAGGGGUCGCGACAAUUGGUGGCCCGGACGGGGAAUUNUAAAAGGAAGAGAGCGGGGAAUUCAUAGAACGGAACGCUCCCCUGUAAAAGGAAGAGAGCGGGGAAUUCAUAGAACGGAACGCUCCCCUGUAAAAGGAAGAGAGCGGGGAUUUUUGUACUUUCACUUUCUUUAUAGCUCUAAAAACAUUAUGGGCGUUGCUUCUUCAAGCCCAAUUUUGUUGGCCCUAGAUGGGUUGCUACGUUCAAAAGGACUUAAGGUAAAGCAGAGCACUUU